GGAAGUAAAAUCGUAACAAGGUCUCCGUUGGUGAACCAGCGGAGGGAUCAUUACCGAGUUUACAACUCCCAAACCCCUGUGAACAUACCUAACUGUUGCUUCGGCGGGCAGAGGUCCCUCGCGGAUCUCUCCCGGCAACGCCCUCACGGGCGGAGCGCCCGCCGGAGGAUACCAAACUCUAUUUUAACGACGUUUCUUCUGAGUGGCACAAGCAAAUAAUUAAAACUUUUAACAACGGAUCUCUUGGUUCUG
rnacentral:misc_RNA from 1 species